rnacentral:rRNA from 1 species
CUUAUGCAUGCAGUCGAGCGAUGAGGCCUCUUCGGGGGGUCAUCAGCGGCAGACGGGUGAGUAACACGUAGGUGAUCUACCCCAGAGACGGUGAUAACGGGUGGAAACAUCCGCUAAUACCGGAUAGACUUGGUCGGUCAAAGGGACAAGGAAAGGCUCCGGCGCUCUGGGAGGAGCCUGCGGCCCAUCAGCUAGUUGGCGGGGUAACGGCCCACCAAGGCAAAGACGGGUAGGGGGUGUGAGAGCAUGGCCCCCCACAAUGGGACUGGAACACGGCCCAUACUCCUACGGGAGGCAGCAGCAGGGAAUAUUGCACAAUGGACGGAAGUCUGAUGCAGCGACGCCGCGUGGAUGAAGAAGGCCCUCGGGUUGUAAAAUCCUUUACAGGGGGAAGAGGAAGGACGGUACCCCUGGAACAAGUGUCGGCUAACUACGUGCCAGCAGGCGCGGUAAGACGUAGGACACAAGCGUUAUCCGGAUUUACUGGGCGUAAAGCGUCUGCAGGCGGACAGGUAAGUUGGGCGUGAAAGCUCCGGGCCCAACCCGGAGAGGUCGUUCAAUACUGCGUGUCUAGAGGGUGUCAGAGGGGAGUGGAAUUCCCGGAGUAGCGGUAAAAU